AGAAUAGACUACCCGGGUAGUCCACGCCCUAAACGAUGCGAACUGGAUGUUGGGUACAUUACGGUACUCAGUGUCGAAGCUAACGCGUUAAGUUCGCCGCCUGGGGAGUACGGUCGCAAGACUGAAACUCAAAGGAAUUGACGGGGGCCCGCACAAGCGGUGGAGUAUGUGGUUUAAUUCGAUGCAACGCGAAGAACCUUACCUGGCCUUGACAUCUGUCGAAUCCUGCAGAGAUGCGGGAGUGCCGCAAGGAACGACAAGACAGGUGCUGCAUGGCUGUCGUCAGCUCGUGUCGUGAGAUGUUGGGUUAAGUCCCGCAACGAGCGCAACCCUUGUCCCUAGUUGCCAGCACGUAAUGGUGGGAACUCUAGGGAGACUGCCGGUGACAAACCGGGAGGAAGGUGGGGAUGACGUCAAGUCCUCAUGGCCCUUACGGCCAGGGCUACACACGUACUACAAUGGUCGGUACAGAGGGUUGCGAAGCCGCGAGGUGGAGGCCAAUCCCAGAAAACCGAUCCCAGUCCGGAUCGGAGUCUGCAACUCCG
rnacentral:rRNA from 1 species